GACCUGCGAGAGGCUGUGCCAUGUGCGCCUCUGGGUGCGGCCGCCGGCGCCGCGCUCUGCUGUACGGCUUUCCUCGCUUAUCUUCCUGCGUAUCUUAACUGUAUUAUUUUGAAAUCCUUAGAGAAGGAAAAAGCCCACAAGAAAUUCUUGUUGAAAAGGACUCAGAGGCAAGAAAACGUGAUAAAGUGUGAAAAUCAGAAUAUCAGCAAAGUAUCCAAUAACCUUUCAACCCUUCUACAGCAUGGAAAAAGUUGCACACUCUUUGAAUUCAAGACUUUUUUCCCUUGCUAUGUAUGUCUACUGAGUUCUCUGAAUCUUCUAGGUGUGACUAUAAUAUACGUGAUAAAUACUGAUGAGAUGUUGCAUUUGUGUAUUUCCAGCUAUGCUGUUUUUCCAAAGACAGUAGAGGAGUCAUAUCUUAAAUUCUUACCUGAAUUUCUGAUGCUUUAAAGAGUUAUCUUUUCUUUAGUGUCUUCCAAUGAAAUAUUCUCUGAAGCAUCAUGUAUUUGGGUCAAGGGAAACCAAAGUCCAAAGCUUUUAAGCUCCUUAUCCAAAAAGAAGAUUCAAGGAAGCAAAAAUGAUGGAAAGAAAAAGUAAUACUGCUGCUCAUGUGAAAGAGCCAAAUUGCUGAGUUCAGUUCUUAAGUUAUAGGAAUGAAAGAAUCUAGCAUGUGAGCAUCGUUCUUUUCUUGCCUGGUUUAUUGAUAAUGCUCUUUUUUUUUUUUUUUCCUAACUUUGGGCUGGGGGAAAUUUUUUUCAUCUUUUUUUUUCUUUAAUUUUAAAUGCUCCUUAAUCAGAAGUUUCAUCUUUUUGUCACUGUUGAUCUU
rnacentral:lncRNA from 1 species